AGUGACAUCACUUUGGAGGGAAAACAACAGCACAAACAAGACUCACUGGCACACGUCUGUGGAAUGCUGGGAAGGGUUAAUGUUUUUGAAGCCCGUCUUGGAUGUCGGGACCCGAGGCGCCUCACGCCUUGGCGAUGACCCCUGUGCUUUAACCCAGGCCUCUGUCGAGUCGUGCCCUGCCGUCGCUCCUAGCGACAGCCACCGUUCCCAUGCAGCUGAGAAGAAGCGGCCUGUCGGUGACCUGAGAAACCACUAAAAGCGAGUACGUUGGAUGUCUUGCUGGGUGUCAUUCGACAAACAGCGUGAUUGGCGAUGAGUGGAGAUUGAUGAAAAGCAAGAGAGUGGGCCGCAUCAGAGGCACCGGCAGCUGUGGGGCGACACCAGAGGCUCUCCGUCUCCCACCCCCUGAAAGAAGAAAAGCGAGGGGCUGGAUGCGCCAAUUCAUGGUUAAUCAGAGAGGCAUUCAAUCCAGUUCUCUGAAAGGAACAUAAAAGCAAAGGCUGAGAUGGUGGUCUCCUGUCUUAGUGGCUGAUUCUUAAGCUGAAUAAGGUGGAAAACAGUAUCAUGAUGGCCCCAAGAGACUAGACCAUGUUUGGAGAAAUUGCUUUUUAAGGACUACAACAAAUGGCUGGUAGGGACUACAACGAGCUUCUUUCCGGGUUGGUGACAUCAUUAACCCCAAAAAUUUACAUAAACUCUGCCCCUGAGAACACGCAACAAAGGGGAUGAGGCCAUGUUGGGCUGCUUUAGAGAAGAGGAAGAAUUGUAGUAGAGUGUUGUUGUCAUGCCAUCAUUUUACGCUGGACUGCUUCACAAACAAGGGUCAAUUCAAUGCUGGAUUUGCACAAAAGAUUAACAUGACGACACAUGCUAGUCGGCUGAUGUCCAAGACCCCCUGAUUCAGCAUGACAACACUGCCCUCCCGACCUCCUCAUCCUCAACUAAAGCUUCUGCUUAAUCCAAUUCAACUCGUAACUGCGCAGAGAGUCUGGGUGAGUUCUUCAGGCCCACGUCACGUUCCCCCCCCCACCCACUGUAACCUUUAGCAGCCGCUGCGCUGGGGGCACAGACAACAAUCCUAGGAUUCUGUGUGCUUUUGUCCGGAAAUAACAGACACAAACUGGGGUCAGACGCUGAGCUCUGGAAUUUAGAUCAAAGACGUUGUCUGCUACAGCAGUCUUCUGCUUCAGGUCAGACAUGACAUUUUUUUUGCUACAUUUUGAGAUGUGACGCCAAUUCAACAGGUGAACUAUGGAUCAAUGUUGCUAUUUCUUUGUAUUGUAUACAUGGUACAAAAUUAUUGUAAUUUAGAUUUGAAUAUAGAAUUUCCUACAGUACAAAAAUGUUAAUUGUGCGUUGCCUGACAUUAUAUGUUAAAAUACAUUAAACUUAAUUUUAAAGUAAAAUAUUGUUUAGCAAAAAAAGUAAACUUAUGAAAAUAUGAAUAUAAAAAUAUGAAAACUAAUAUUUCAUAUAUCAAGGCAAUUGUGAAAGUUUUAAUGCAUUGUAAUGGUGAAAUUUAUGUCAGUCAAUGUGUGGUCAUUGUACCUGUUCGGUGGUAUUUAUACAGUAAAAAAACAUAAAACAUUUACAGCCAUUAAAAUGCCGUUUUGUAAACUACAGCUGCCAGUUUCAUAACCAUAACUUUAAUAAAAAAAAAAAAGAAAAAAAAAAGGUUUUACAA